rnacentral:lncRNA from 1 species
AAUGUCUAACAUACAAAUUAUAUUAACUAAUUAAUAACUAUCAUAGGAUAUAGUUUCAAAAAAAUCAAAACAUUACAUUGAUAUAUCCACUAAUAUCUUUAGAUAUAUUCGCAAAUGCUAAAUUCUAAAAAUCGCAAAUCCUACAACAAAUAUCAACACAUAUAACACAUAAAAUAUCAACACACAUGUAUAUAACAUAUAACACGUAGAACACAUCAAGACAUAACAUACAUGUAAAACAUAACAUAUAUAACACAUAAAUUCAAAACACAUAACACAUAAAUUUAAAACAUAUAACAUGUACAUAACACAUAUCAACACACAAACCUUCUGUUGGUACCAUGGACCGCGGCCCAUGGACCAAACCGGCCCCGUCGGCGGCCCUGGCGAACGGACGGGCUCGACGCGCGAGUCCACGAGGCCCAAGGACUGGGACGGAGGACUAUAAAUACCUCCCCUGGUCCAACAGGGGAGGGGGUUGACAAAUCUAGGAACAGACAGUUGAGAGAGUUGAGGGUGUGAGCUGCCAUCGGCGAGCCCACACACCAACAGUGGUGAACCUGACGUGAACCGAACACACGACAGCCGGAGAAGAGGAGGAUGACGAGAAGCGAAUACCAAGUGGGGGAGUGCUCAAAGCGACCCGAGCGGGCAGCAGUGGAGUACCAGCCGGCGCAACACCACUCCCGCGACCGGUACUCGGAGGAGGUAAGGGCCAAUGAGGAAUGGGGCGCCGAGGAGGAGAGGCUACGUAUGGAGCUCGAGGAGAUCAGGUACGGGUGGGAGUCGCCCAGAAGGAGCCGGCGCAGCGAACCAGCGUCCCCACCCAGGGUCAGGAGAACGCGGUCGCGGUCGCGGUCCCGGGAGAGAAGGGAAAGGGAGCACGAGAGGCUCCGGCGAAGGGAGAUCGCGGAGGAGAGAGAGCGCGCGGAAAGAGAGAGUAAGUGGGAAAGGAUGCAGCUCGUGAAACUGAUAUCCACCCUACAGGAGAGCCAGUGUCAACUACAGGAGCAGGUACACCAGCUCACAGUGACCCCCCACACCCUGGAAUCGGACGGGGGCGGAGGAGGAGACCCCAUGUACGGGCCGUCCGCCCCCUGGACGGGAGACCCGGGAGCGACGCCCCACCCAUGGAGGCCCCGCGAGCCAUUGCGGCACUGGCGCCAGGGGGGCAGCGGAGAGGCCCUAGCGCAGCACCUGCUGGACGAGGAGUACCCGCUAGGUUGGAGGGCCCCGAAGAUCCCUUAUUACAAGGGCGACACAGACCCGGAGGACCACCUGCACUCUUUCAAGACCAACAUGGAGGACAGGACGAACAGGAAGGACGUCUGGUGUCAAAUGUUCCGCAGGGCCCUGACAGGCGACGCGAUAGCCUGGUACAGGACGCUGCCGACAGGGUCCGUGCACACCUACGAAGGCUUAGNNNNNNNNNNNNNNNNNNNNNNNNNNNNNNNNNNNNNNNNNNNNNNNNNNNNNNNNNNNNNNNNNNNNNNNNNNNNNNNNNNNNNNNNNNNNNNNNNNNNNNNNNUGGACCGGUUCGCGAGCGAGGUGCAGAAGAUUGAAGGGUUCUCAGAAGAGGUGGUGUUGUACGCCCUAACGAACAGCCUCCGACCCACGUUCUUCGCGGGAGAUUUAGUAAGGAAGCCGCCGAAAACCUUCGCCGAGGCCAUGGAGAGAUCCCACGGAGAGAGCAACGUGGAGGACUACCUAGGCGCGAAGAUCCAGGAGUACAGGCGGCAGCAGAGGGGGAAGGGCGCCCCAGCAAACACGGGGGGGGGCAGCAGCAGAGCCAACCUCAGCCCCAACAACUGCAAGUCAAGCCCCCAGCGGCACCACAGGCGCCUGCGUACAGAACCGGCACCCCGGCAGCAGCGGGGCGGAGGGAAGUAGGCCCCGCCCCGGCAGCAAACCAAAGGCAGGUUUUCCUCACGUUGAGCGGAACAGGAACCCUACCCCCGCCAAGGCCAAUGAGGAAAGACACGGCGGCGUUCAGGGACACCCGUCGGUUUUGCGAGUACCACGAGGACAACGGCCACACGACGGCUGAAUGCCUGAACCUAGCAAAGGUCCUCAACAAAAUGAAACCCGCAAACGGAGCCCCCCCCGGCCCCGACGACAAGCCGUCCGACGGUAAUACCCACGGGACACCAAGUGCCGAAGCAGGAGCCGGCGGACGAAGUAAUAGGGGACAUCCUCACCAUCGCGGGGGGAGGAGCCUCGAGGGGCGACGAUCCAUGGGAGGGACGGCGGUACGCGUCCGACGUGGACCGGACAACAGGGGUCAAGCGCCCGCGAAUAAACUUGGAAAUCUCGUUCACGGAGGACGACAUGAAGGACAUCACCCCACCCCACGACGAUCUCCUAGUCAUAACCCCCAUCUUCCAAAGGGGAGACAAGUCCAGCGUACGACUACACAGGGUCCUGGUGGACACGGGGGCGUCGGUGGACAUACUGUACUGGAAUGCUUUCAUCGACCUCGGCCUGGCCCGCGCGGACCUACUCCCAUGCCGGGCUCCCAUCAGAGGAUUCGGACAGUCAGAAGUUCCAGUAGCGGGAACAUUUUCCAUCCCGGUCACCCUGGGACGGCAUGCCCAAGCAAGGACGGUCGUUGUCAUGUUCACGGUCGUGAACUUCACAUCCGGAUAUAACGCCAUCCUGGGAAGGACAGCGCUGCACGCUUUCCAUGCAGUAAUGUCGUCGCUCCACCAGUGCCUCAAGUUCCCAACCGAUGGAGGGGUUUGCACGGUCCGGGGGUCCCAGAAAAAGGCGCGCGAGUGCUACUUCAAUUCGGUCGGCGAAGUAAUGACGUCGGGCGAAGGCCUACCCCACUCGAUGCGGGAACACAUUGCAAGACCCUAGCCAGCAUCCCACACGACCCAAGUGGCCCUUGGUCAGAACGAGGUGCGAAUGGGAAGGAACCUCCCGCAGAAUAUCAGGGAGGGGUUAGAGCAACUCCUGAGGAAGAACGGGGACCUGUUUGCUAGCGAGUUGGGGGAGUUGAGCGGUGUGCCUAGGACGCUGGCGGAGCACAAACUAGCGGUAGCCCCGGGCGCCCACCCUGUCAGGCAAAAAUUACGCCCGCUAAGGGCGGAAAAGAGGGAGGCGUCCGGGCCCAGUACGCUACCCCGCCUGGCUGUCCAACGUGGUGAUGGUAAGGAAAGCAGAUUCGGGAUGGAGGAUAUGCGUCGACUUCACCAACCUGAACAAAACUUGCCCCAAGGACAGCUACCCGCUGCCGUCGUUGGACCGGCUGGAGGACCAGAGCUCCGGGUGCGGGAUGCUGAGCUUCAUGGACGUACACUCGAGGUACAACCAAGUGCCCAUGGCACGGGAAGACGAGGAGAAGACAUCGUUCAUCACAGAGAUGGGCACAUUUUGCUUCAGAGUAAUGCCGUUCGGCCUGCGCAACGCCGGGGCGACGUUCCAGAGGCUAAUGGAUAAGAUAUUCAAGGCGCAGAUAGGUAGGAACGCGGAGGUAUACGUGGAAGACAUACUCGUUCGGUCGAAGGAGGCCGAAACGCACUUGGCCGAUUUAGAAGAGACCUUCGCCAACAUCUGAAAGGCAGGGCUUAAGCUAAAAGCCAAGAAGUGCGCGUUCGGAGUCAAGGAGGGGCAUUUCUUGGGUUUCCGAAUCACACCCGAAGGAAUCAAGCCAAAAGAAGAAAAGGUUGAGGCCGUGAUGGCUAUGAACCCCCCACGGAUGCUGAAGGAAGUCCAGAAGCUAAAUGGAAGGGUGGCGGCACUGAGCAGAUUUAUGCCGAGAACGGCAGACCGUUUCAAGCCUUUCUUCCAACUGUUAAGGAACCCAGGACCCAGGGUGGUGUGGUCAGACGAAUGCGAGACGGCGUUCAGAGAGCUCAAGCUCCAGCUUUCGAACCUGCCAACACUCCGCCCCCCAACAAGGGGAGAACCACUCAUCAUGUACGUAGCAUGCUCAGAUGCGGCCGUCAGCGCAGUCCUGAUCUCGAAAGCGGGAGGCACACAAAGGCCAGUAUACUACCAUUCUCGGUCAUUAAUAGGAGCGAAGGAGAGAUGCCCAGAACUCGAGAAACUAGCCCUGGUGGUGGUCUCGGCAGUCCGAAGGCUAAAACCAUACUUUCACGCCCACACGGUCACGAUCCCAACAGCUCUUCUUGUAAUAUACUGAAUCAAAGGAGAGACUGAUGUCUUUAAUGACCUCCUUAAGGAUUACCUCAGGAGGCCUACUAAUGUGCUGCUUAUACCUUUUAUUUCUUUCCGUCCAUAUAUGCCACGACAAGCACCCAAUAGCAUUCCAUAUUAACCCCCAAGGGGGGGAGUGGCACGUAAUCUUUUGUGCUGCCUCCGUCAGAUCCUCCAAUCUAAUAUCUGGACUGGAUUGGGUGGGAACUGGAAUAUUCAUUAUUUUCCAGAAAGCGAAAUCCAGUUGUUCCGCCAACGAAAUUAAGAGAGAUCUGGAAUAAGAACAGUUAAAGAAAAGAUGACUCCUACUUUCAUCUUCCAGAUUACAUAGCAAGCAAGCAGGAGGUACUUGUACUCUCCAACUUCUUAAUUUCCUGAACGUGUUUAGAUGAUCCCAUUUCACCCUCCACAAGAGAAUAGAGAAUUUUGUCGGCAUCUUCGACCAAAUUCCCUCAGCUAACAUGUCUUUAUGCUUUCUAUCUCUAAUACUUUCCACUAUUCCCCCCAAUUUAUUUAUCGGAAUACCAGAUCUCCACAUAAACAUACUAUUCGCUCUACAAUCCAAACAUUUAUCCACUAGGCUUCUUUCUGAAACAAAUGUUUUCCAAAAAUGCGAAUCCACAGUAGGUCUGAUUUGUAUAUCAUUAAACGCCUUUCCUUUAAUAUACCUAUCUUGGAUCCAUUUUACCAGAAUAGAAUCGCUCUUAUCCCAGUACUUAGAAGCUCUUUUAAUAUUGGUUGCAGUGGUGAUAAUAGGAAGGUCUCUAACCCCUAGACCCCCUUCCAACUUGGGAAGGAUCAUUUGGGCCCACGGGAUCCCUUUCCUUCCGUCCCAUAUAAAUCUAUAAGCUAACCUUCUCACCUUCUUAGCCACAGAAUUAGGGAUAGCCAUACCUUGCGCCCAAUAAGUAUACUUUCCAACUAUUAUCCAGUUAACUAAUUGUAUUCUCCCUCCACAGGAAAGACAUUUCCCACUCCAUCUUGCUAGGAGCGCCUCUAUAGACUGGAUUAGCUUCCAGCACUGUCCAAAUGACUUUUUCUUUCCCGUAAUUGGUAACCCUAGAUAUGUUAUAGGUAGACUUUUAACAGUAUAUCCUAAGAUAUUAUGUAAAGAUUGAUUUUCUGCACAUACUUUUGAGAAGGUGGAGAAACUCUUGCUCACAUUUACUUCCAAUUCCGAGAACAAUGAGAAUUUCUCAAGUACCGUUUUAAUUGCAUUAAGCGAUUUCAGGUUUGCCUUUGAAAAUAUGAGGAUAUCAUCCGCAUACAUGAGGUGAGAUAUAGAAGUAGCACCAUUCACCUGAUAAGUGUCUAUUCUUUUGUUCUUUACUCCAUUCUGUAUCAAUCUACUUAGAACAUCCAUAACCAUAUCAAAUAGAAUAGGAGAUAGAGGAUCACCCUGUCUAAUCCCCCUCUGGCUUUUGAAGGGAGGCGUUGGAGUCCCUUCCACCAGCACCGAAAAAGAUGCAGAGGAUAUGCAAUUCCAAAUCAUUUUGCAGAACAUAUGAAAAAAUCCAUACGCUUCAAGGGUGACAAUUAUAGCCUCCCAACUGACUGUGUCAAAUGCUUUCUUAAGAUCUAUACUUAAACAACACCUCUUGGGAGUUCUCUUUCUUCCAAAACCAUGUACCAUUUCAUCCGCUAGAAUGGUAUUAUCCGAGAUGAGCCUUCCUUGAAUGAAAGCUGCUUGGUUUGGAGAGAUGAGUUCACUAGAGACCUUACUGAUCCUAUCUGCUGAUAUUUUUGUCAUUAGCUUGUAGAUCAAAUUGACACAUGAUAUCGGCCUGAAAUCCGACAUAUCUGAGGCCGUGUUUGUUUUGGGCACAAGCAUGAUGAAAGUAUGGUUAGCAAACUUCAACAAAGGUUUGCCUUUAAAGAAUUGUCUUACACACUCCAUUACUAGGCCUUUAAGAUCUCCCCAAAAAUUUUUGAAAAAUUCCGAGGUGAAACCAUCCGGCCAAGGGGAUUUCCCCGAAUUAAAGGAGAACAGUGUGGCCCUUACCUCUUCCUCUAAUGGAGCCUGAAGCAGCCACCUAUUCAUAGUUUCAGAAACCACUCUAGGAAAAAUGACAGGAACCGCCGGCCGUUGGGUGGUUGAAUUACUGAACAAAGUUUUAAAGUACCUAACACUAUUCUCCUCUAAUAGAACCCUAGAGGUGGUUUGAAUUCCAUUUGUAUUGAGAAUUUUAGAGGUUGAAUUUGUAGACCUCCUCAUGUUAGUUCCUCAUGUUAGUUCCUCAUGUUAGUUCCUCAUGUUAGUUCCAUUAAAGUUAGUUCCUCAUGUUAUAGUACCAUUUAAAGUGUCUACGGGCAGUGGAAAAUUGAUCUGUGAGGCUGUUUGCAAAGUGGUAGAGAUUAAAAUUCAGAACACAAUUGUAAAAAUGGACAUUUUUCUACUUCAGAUGGCAGGAGCCAAUGUGGUGAUUGGGAUUCAAGGACCGAAAUCCUUAGGACCAGUUACUUUUAAUUUUGAUGAUUUGAAUAUGUCUUUCCAAAAAGAAGAGAAAAAGAUUAUUUGGCAGGGAUGUCGAUGGGUUUCUGAAGACCCCCUAUAUGUGGGUCAGUUAAAGUGUCUUAUUGCUUCAACACAAGAGGCUUACUUAUGUUAUAUGGAAAGGAUAGAAGAAAAUGAGAAAGUUCCCAUUUUGAAUUCUAAUAGCCAAGAGGUAACUGAAAUCGUACAACAGUACACUGAUAUUUUUGACACACCAACAGGGUUACCACCACAAAGGGAUAGAGACCACUUUAUACAUCUUGAGAACAAUGCCAACCCUAUCAAUGUGAGACCUUAUAAGUACCCACAAUUUCAGAAAUCAGAUAUUGAAAGGUUAGUUGCUGAACUGAUGACUCAAAAAAUUAUCAAGCCCAGCACUAGUCCCUACUCAUCCCCAGUACUGCUAGUAAAAAAGAAAGAUGGGAGUUACAGAUUAUGUGUGGAUUAUAGAGCAUUGAAUGCCCUAACUAUCAAAGAUAAGUUUCCCAUCCCUAAUGUGGAUGAACUCCUUGGAGAACUUAAAGGAUCUAAUUUUUUUUCAAAAUUAGAUUUAAGAUCGGGUUUCCACCAGAUUAGAGUCCACCCCCCUCAUACUGAAAGGACAGCAUUCAGAACUCAUCAGGGGCAUUUCGAAUUCUUAGUGAUGCCAUUUGGGCUCACAAAUGCACCAACAACAUUUCAAUCGAUUAUGAAUUCAGUUUUUGCUAAAUAUUUGAGAAAAUUUGUCAUCAUAUUUUUUGAUGAUAUUUUGGUGUUUAGUUCUUCUCUACAAGACCAUCUAUCACAUUUGCAGAAGGUCUUUGAAACACUAAGGGAAAACAAAUUAUUAGCCAAGCUCUCCAAGUGUUCAUUUGGGCAAGAUUCUAUGGGUUUGUUGGGGCAUAUCAUAAAGGAAGAUGGGGUGCAUCCUGAUCCUGAAAAGAUAACAGCAAUGGUAGAGUGGGCUGUCCCAAAAAAUCUUAAAAUGUUAAGAGGAUUCUUAGGACUAACCGGGUACUAUAGGAGAUUUAUUAAAAGCUAUGCCCAGAUAGCUGCCCCUAUGACAGAUUUAUUGAAGAAAGACUCCUUUAAAUGGAGUGACUUAGCCCAAAAUAGUUUUGAGAAACUAAAGUCAGCCAUGGUGUCAGCUCCAGUAUUGGGAUACCCUGGUUUCAGUCAACAAUUCACUGUGGAAACAGAUGCUUGCAACACUGGUGUUGGAGCAGUGCUAAUUCAGAACAAACACCCUAUAUCAUUUUUCAGUAAAAAAAUUGCUGGAAAACUCAGUUCAGCAGCAAUUUAUGUCAAAGAAAUGUAUGCGAUAACACAGGCAGUAGCUAAGUGGAGGCACUACUUACUGGGAUCACACUUCAUAAUCAAAACAGACCAUAGAAGUUUGAAAAAUCUUCUAACUCAAAUUAUUCAGACCCCAGAACAGCAAGUGUUCUUGGUUAAAUUAUUAGGGUACGAUUUCAGCAUUAUAUUCAAGUCCGGGAAGGAAAAUAUUGUUGCUGAUGCUCUGUCCAGAUCAUAUGAAGAAAGGGAGAAUGAAGAAAUAAUAUUUUCUAGCAAAUCUGAAGGUGAGCCUGGAUCAUUUUUAUCUUUUUCUAUAAUAGUAAACUCUCUAGUGGAAGAAAUAAAGAAAGAAAAUGAGGGAGACCCCAAAAUACAAGACAUUAUACAUAACUCCUUAGAAGAGGGCCAAAAUUUCAAUGGGUUUCAAUUUAAAUCAGGAAUUCUAUUUUUCAAGGGCAGAUAUUAUUUAAAGAAAGACUCAGCCUUCAUUCCAAAGGUUCUAGGGGAAUUUCAUGAUUCAGUGAUAGGAGGCCAUGCUGGUGUAUUAAAAACAAAGAAAAGAAUUUGCAAAUUGUUCUAUUGGCCCAAGAUGGGAGAGGAUAUCUAUAAGUAUGUACAGAGCUGCAAUACUUGCCAAAAAAUGAAGCCCUCAAAUCAGAAACCUUCAGGCCUACUCAUGCCCUUGCCUAUCCCAUCUACAAUUUGGAAGGAGGUAAUUAUGGAUUUUAUUAUAGAUCUUCCUAGGGUGGAGGGAAAAACAGUGAUCAUGGUGGUAGUAGAUAGACUAUCCAAAUAUGCUCAUUUUAGUGCUCUUCCUACUAAUUUUAAUGCUGUCAAGGUAGCUGAAAUAUUUCUAAAAGAUGUCAUUAAAUUACAUGGAAUUCCUACUUCUAUAGUGUCAGAUCGAGAUAGAAUUUUUACUUCCAAGUUCUGGAAGGAAUUACACAGAUUAGGUGGAACAAAACCGUCCUUCUCAUCCUCAUACCAUCCAGAAACUGAUGGCCAAACAGAGGUAGUGAACAGAACUUUGGAGAUGUAUUUAAGGUCUUAUUGUCAUGAAGACCCAAAACAAUGGUUGGGGUUACUACCUUGGGCAGAAUUGUGGUAUAAUUCAGGGUAUCACUCAUCACUUGGAAUGACUCCAUUUAAGGCAGUUUAUGGGAAAGAAGCUGUUGAAUUACCACACUACAAUGCAGGGGAAUCUCAAAUUGAAUCAGUAGACACCCUAUUGCAAAUCAGGGAAGAGACUCUAGAAAUUAAAAAAAAAAUCUAGCAAAAGCACAAGCAAGGAUGAAAUUACAAGCUGAUAGAAAAAGGUCUGAUAUCACAUUUAAAUUGGGGGAUUGGGUGUUCGUGAAGCUCCAACCAUACAGACAAACAUCAGUAGCUAUCAGGAUUCACAACAAAUUAUGCCAAAAAUAUUUCGGACCCUAUGAAGUGGAAAAAAUAAUAAACAAAGCUGCAUACAGACUCAAGCUACCUGAGGGAAGCAAGAUUCAUAAUACUUUUCAUGUCUCAAGGUUGAAGGCAUUCAUAGGUCCAAUUCCAGAAAAUUCGAGCAAAGGGGAUCCUGUAAUUUCUGUCCAAAACCAACCAAUUACAUACCCAUUAGCAAUACUGGACAGUAGAACUAUUUGGAAAGAAAAGGAGAAGGUAAAUCAGAUACUAAUUCAAUGGAAUGGAGCAUUACCUGAGGAUUCUUCUUGGGAGUCUAUGGCGGACAUGGCAGCGGCAUUUCCUUCUUUAAACCUUGAGGACAAGGUCGUCUCUGGAGGGGGAAGUGAUGAUACAAUCCCGAUCAGCUAUGAGGAAGUAUCAGAGAGUAUCCAGCAGGAGGGAAGUAGUGAAAUCGCGGAAUCCCUAACUGGGGAAAUAUUGGGGAAGAACGACGGUGGUUCUGAACAGCUCAACCGUGGUGAACCCGGCCAGCCUUCCAUAAGCAGCAGCAGACCGGGUAGGGAGAGGAAGAAGCCGGCCCACUUGAAAGAUUACGUAAUGGGCUGAGGGAGGAAUUGGCCCACUUGAAGAAUUUAAGUUUUUUAAAAAAAAAUUUGCUAAAGAGACCUUAAGUUUAAAUUAAAUGUUGUAAUAGUCAGUAGUAUAAGAAUGUUUUAAUCAUUGG